UAGGCUCUAGGGUUAAAUGAAUAGCCUUAAAAGAUUAUCUGUAGCACAUAACGGUUUUCAAGCCAGCUAAGGUCUUGUUAGAUGGUGCCAUCUAUUGAUCGUUGACCUGCUUUAACCUAUCGCAAAUAGAACAAAGAUGAAAAAAUCGAUGGCACGUAUAAUGGAGAUAAGGUACAUCCGGGUUUCAUAAUAAACUAUUCUGAUGAGAAGUCAUUUCAGGAUUCGUGACAAAUGAUAUGCCAUUGGUGCCGCGCUUUCUGCAUAACUAACUUUGCACCAUAUUUCCACGUUUGCAGCAAUUCUUUGACAUUUCGUCACGAAGCCAGUCCGACCUCAUUAAACUUUGUCACAUAUUUUUCCUUUUGAGUUUCGAAAUCUUACUGUUCUAUUUUAAUCCAAAUCAAUCGUUCAAUUGGAAUGAUACUUCCGGUCGAAAUAUAGUCUUGAUUGCACGUUUUUAUUUUAUUUUUGUGAAAAUCAGGUUUAUAGACAUUACGUCAUCGGUCUACAAAGGCUCAUUAAUUCCAUCCACCAGAGCGGAAAAAAACCUGUUUUUAUGCAAGCCCUCUUACAGAGAACAAAAAAUACAAGCACCGAGUAUCACCUAGGUUUGUGUUCAAGAGAAAUCGCCCAGUUUGUCUAGUGAUAGUUCAAAGCCUAUAUCAAAACAUUGGCUGAUUCAUUAGCAACGCAUCGGAUCUCAACGGAUAAUGAGCGUGCACGUUUCGCUCAUUAGAUCAGACGGGAGAUGAUAAUGACGCUGUACACUAUACAAUUACACGGGGGCAUUGGCCGGGAUUGCAAGCACAUACUUCAAACAGCUGCCAUGUACUGUACCUAACAGGUAUACACGAAUAAAUAAAAGUAUGAAACGUUUGAUUUCAAAAACUUUUGGCAGAAAAUUUUCUUUACUAGACAAACCUGUUGAAAGUGAGGGGAAAUUUGCUAAAAGAGCCUUCCGACUUAUGUUUUCAUUUUUGUUACACUCUUUUACAAAUUAGACCGGUUGAUCAGCUUUCCCUAUCCACUUAUCCAGUGAUACGCCCCUGUAGAUAAGGAGGGAGAAGAAUUAGCAAAAUGAUAACAGUGACAAUAUGAAGGCCUCAUCUGCAACAAGAAUAAUUAAAUCAAGUUGAUUUUUAAAAAAUAUUUAUACUAGAGAGAACUGAGAUGGUGCUUACGGAUCGAUCCGAUGACGACCUUCUUUGUCCAUUCCGAUCCUUCCAAAAACCGACAGAGAAACAAGAACAAAAAAGGGAAGCCAUUUUCAUCGGCUUGGCACAUACUUAUCAAAAUGUUAAAAGAAACAAAGACAAGAACAAGUUUGAAACAAACAAAACAAACGAGAAGACUUUCCAAUUUGGAUGAACACGGUUUAAUGAUAAUAUUAAAGCCAAAAUACAGUAGAAUUGACGCAACUAGAAACGAAGUUUAAAGGGAGAUAUUUUUAGAACAAAAAAGAUAAAUGAGACCCGAAACAUUUUCAUUUCAAAAAAUGAAAAAAAAAAAAGCACAAAAAAACUCGAAACAGAAACGCGGACCAUCGACUGCAACGAU